AACCCAUGGUGAGGGCACCUUCUUAGUAAUUCCUUGUAUCUUUCCCAUACAUCAUAAAGUGUUUCUAAAUCCAUCUGCACAAAAGAAGAGAUAUCAUUAUGUAAUU
rnacentral:snoRNA from 1 species